GACGAACGCUGGCGGCGUGCCUAAUACAUGCAAGUAGAACGCUGAAGGAGGAGCUUGCUCUUCUGGAUGAGUUGCGAACGGGUGAGUAACGCGUAGGUAACCUGCCUGGUAGCGGGGGAUAACUAUUGGAAACGAUAGCUAAUACCGCAUAAAAUUGAUUAUUGCAUGAUAGUCAAUUAAAAGGUGCAAUUGCAUCACUACCAGAUGGACCUGCGUUGUAUUAGCUAGUUGGUGAGGUAACGGCUCACCAAGGCAACGAUACAUAGCCGACCUGAGAGGGUGAUCGGCCACACUGGGACUGAGACACGGCCCAGACUCCUACGGGAGGCAGCAGUAGGGAAUCUUCGGCAAGGGACGGAAGUCUGACCGAGCAACGCCGCGUGAGUGAAGAAGGUUUUCGGAUCGUAAAGCUCUGUUGUAAGAGAAGAACGAGUGUGAGAGUGGAAAGUUCACACUGUGACGGUAUCUUACCAGAAAGGGACGGCUAACUACGUG
rnacentral:rRNA from 1 species